rnacentral:rRNA from 1 species
UACGGAAGGCAGCAGUGGGGAAUAUUGCACAAUGGGCGCAAGCCUGAUGCAGCCAUGCCGCGUGUAUGAAAAAGGCCUUCGGGUUGUAAAGUACUUUCAGUCGUGAGGAAGGUGUUAAGGUUAAUAACCUUAGCAAUUGACGUUAGCGACAGAAGAAGCACCGGCUAACUCCGUGCCAGCAGCCGCGGUAAUACGGAGGGUGCGAGCGUUAAUCGGAAUUACUGGGCGUAAAGGGCACGCAGGCGGUUAAUUAAGUUGGAUGUGAAAUCCCCGGGCUUAACCUGGGAAUGGCAUUCAAGCUGGUUAGCUAGAGUCUUGUAGAGGGGGUAGAAUUCCAUGUGUAGCGGUGAAAUGCGUAGAGAUGUGGAGGAAUACCGGUGGCGAAGGCGGGCCCCUGGGACAAAGACUGACGCUCAUGUGCGAAAGCGUGGGGAGCAAACAGGGAUUAGAUACC